rnacentral:rRNA from 1 species
GACGAACGCUGGCGGCGCGCCUAACACAUGCAAGUCGAACGAGCGAGAGAGAGCUUGCUUUCUCAAGCGAGUGGCGAACGGGUGAGUAACGCGUGAGGAACCUGCCUCAAAGAGGGGGACAACAGUUGGAAACGACUGCUAAUACCGCAUAAGCCCACAGGUCGGCAUCGACCAGAGGGAAAAGGAGCAAUCCGCUUUGAGAUGGCCUCGCGUCCGAUUAGCUAGUUGGUGAGGUAACGGCCCACCAAGGCAACGAUCGGUAGCCGGACUGAGAGGUUGAACGGCCACAUUGGGACUGAGACACGGCCCAGACUCCUACGGGAGGCAGCAGUGGGGAAUAUUGCACAAUGGGGGAAACCCUGAUGCAGCGACGCCGCGUGGAGGAAGAAGGUCUUCGGAUUGUAAACUCCUGUUGUUGAGGAAGAUAAUGACGGUACUCAACAAGGAAGUGUCGGCUAACUACGUG